AUACGUAUGGGGCAAGCGUUAUCCGGAUUCAUUGGGCGUAAAGCGCGUGUAGGCGGCUUGUUAAGUCAGAUGUGAAAACCGGGGGCUUAACCCGCGGCGUGCAUCUGAAACUGGCAGGCUUGAGUCUGGUAGAGGAAAGUGGAAUUCCUAGUGUAGCGGUGAAAUGCGCAGAUAUUAGGAGGAACACCAGUGGCGAAGGCGGCUUUCUGGGCCACGACUGACGCUGAGACGCGAAAGCUAGGGGAGCAAACAGGAUUAGAUACCCUAGUAGUCC
rnacentral:rRNA from 1 species